rnacentral:rRNA from 1 species
UACGUAGGGUGCGAGCGUUGUCCGGAAUUAUUGGGCGUAAAGAGCUCGUAGGCGGUUUGUCGCGUCGACUGUGAAAACCUGGGGCUUAACUCUGGGCCUGCAGUCGAUACGGGCAGACUUGAGUUCGGUAGGGGAGACUGGGAUUCCUGGUGUAGCGGUGAAAUGCGCAGAUAUCAGGAGGAACACCGGUGGCGAAGGCGGGUCUCUGGGCCGAUACUGACGCUGAGGAGCGAAAGCGUGGGGAGCGAACAGG